GUGUGCUCUACAGGCUGGGAAAUGAAGUAUUGCAAACUGUCUGGGAGCUCAUAUUUAUUAAACAAGACAACAGCAAGUCAAACAUGCAGAAUUUCUGACAAUUCUGUGACACUGCAAACCACAGAGGAGUUUUGUAACAGCAAAAGACAGUCUCCCAGCACUUGGUGUAUGCCUCCUUAAGCCAGCAAUCCUAAGAUGCACGAGGUCUGGACAUUUCACUCAGCUGCUCUCGUGCUGCAGCACAAAUGAGGAGAAAUACGGAACGCUAACUAGGAAACAGAUCUGCCAUACACUGUUGUACGCUACAGCAUCCAAGCAUUUGUUUGAGAUUCAUCGCUCUAGAGAAAACAAUAAAUCAACCUUACAACAAGUACUGGA